GCCCCUUUAGCUCAAUGGUUAGAGCUCCCGGCUCAUAACUGGGAGGUUGCAGGUUCGAAUCCUGUAGGGGGCACCA
rnacentral:tRNA from 1 species